rnacentral:rRNA from 1 species
GACAGAGGGGGCAAGCGUUGCUCGGAAUCACUGGGCGUAAAGGGCGCGUAGGCGGGAUGGCAAGUCGGUCGUGAAAUCUCUCGGCUCAACCGAGAAACGUCGGCCGAUACUGCCGUUCUUGAGGGAUGCAGAGGAGACUGGAAUUCCCGGUGUAGCGGUGAAAUGUGUAGAGAUCAGGAGGAAGACCAGUGGCGAAGGCGGGUCUCUGGACAGUUCCUGACACUGAGGCACGAAGGCCAGGGGAGCAAACGGG